rnacentral:rRNA from 1 species
AAUAGGACCCUGUCCUCCUAUUUUCAGUUGGUUUGCCGCGAGGACCAGGGUAAUGAUUAAUAGGGAUAGUUGGGGGCAUUAAUAUUUAAUUGUCAGAGGUGAAAUUCUUGGAUUUAUGAAAGAUUAACUUCUGCGAAAGCAUCUGCCAAGGAUGUUUUCAUUAAUCAAGAACGAAAGUUAGGGGAUCGAAGACGAUCAGAUACCGUCGUAGUCUUAACCAUAAACGAUGCCGACCAGCGAUUAGGAGACGUUGAAUACAAAACACCACCAUGCGCAUUGCGGUCGUCUUUGGUGUCGCUCACAAGGCGGCACCGGGGCGGCUUAGCUCGCAUGGCACCGGUGAA